AUGCUCACUUCAGGAGCACACGUACCAAGAUUGGAAUGAUACUGAGAUUAGCAUGGCCCCUGGGCAAGAAGGACAUACAAAUUCAUGAAACAUUCCAUAUUUUU
ensembl:snRNA U6 U6 spliceosomal RNA